rnacentral:rRNA from 1 species
UCCAGACUCCUACGGGAGGCAGCAGUGAGGAAUAUUGGUCAAUGGGCGGGAGCCUGAACCAGCCAAGUCGCGUGAGGGACGACGGUCCUAUGGAUUGUAAACCUCUUUUGUCGGGGAACAAAGGCGCCCACGGGUGGGCGGAUGAGUGUACCCGAAGAAAAAGCAUCGGCUAACUCCGUGCCAGCAGCCGCGGUAAUACGGAGGAUGCGAGCGUUAUCCGGAUUUACUGGGUGUAAAGGGAGCGUAGACGGCGGCGCAAGUCCGGAGUGAAAGCCCACGGCCCAACCGUGGGACUGCUCUGGAAACUGUGCGGCUUGAGUGCGGGAGGGGCAGGCGGAAUUCCUAGUGUAGCGGUGAAAUGCGUAGAUAUUAGGAGGAACACCGGCGGCGAAGGCGGCCUGCUGGACCGUAACUGACGUUGAGGCUCGAAAGCGUGGGGAGCAAACAGGAUUAGAUACCCCCGUAU